GAUGAACGCUGGCGGCGUGCUUAACACAUGCAAGUCGAACGGGAAACCUUUUAUUGAAGCUUCGGCAGAUUUAGCUGGUUUCUAGUGGCGGACGGGUGAGUAACGCGUGGGUAACCUGCCUUAUACAGGGGGGUAACAGUCAGAAAUGGCUGCUAAUACCGCAUAAGCGCACAGAGCUGCAUGGCUCAGUGUGAAAAACUCCGGUGGUAUAAGAUGGACCCGCGUUGGAUUAGCUGGUUGGUGGGGUAACGGCCCACCAAGGCGACGAUCCAUAGCCGGCCUGAGAGGGUGAACGGCCACAUUGGGACUGAGACACGGCCCAGACUCCUACGGGAGGCAGCAGUGGGGAAUAUUGCACAAUGGGGGAAACCCUGAUGCAGCGACGCCGCGUGAAGGAAGAAGUAUCUCGGUAUGUAAACUUCUAUCAGCAGGGAAGAUAAUGACGGUACCUGACUAAGAAGCCCCGGCUAACUACGU
rnacentral:rRNA from 1 species